rnacentral:rRNA from 1 species
GUGGGGAAUUUUGGACAAUGGGCGCAAGCCUGAUCCAGCAAUGCCGCGUGCAGGAAGAAGGCCUUCGGGUUGUAAACUGCUUUUGUACGGAACGAAACGGUUCUCUCUAAUACAGGGGGCUAAUGACGGUACCGUAAGAAUAAGCACCGGCUAACUACGUGCCAGCAGCCGCGGUAAUACGUAGGGUGCAAGCGUUAAUCGGAAUUACUGGGCGUAAAGCGUGCGCAGGCGGUUUUGUAAGACAGAGGUGAAAUCCCCGGGCUCAACCUGGGAACUGCCUUUGUGACUGCAAGGCUGGAGUGCGGCAGAGGGGGAUGGAAUUCCGCGUGUAGCAGUGAAAUGCGUAGAUAUGCGGAGGAACACCGAUGGCGAAGGCAAUCCCCUGGGCCUGCACUGACGCUCAUGCACGAAAGCGUGGGGAGCAAACAGGAUUAGAUACCCGAGUAGUCC